CACGAGGUAGGAGAUGCAAGACUUGGUUAAAAGGAUUACGACAACUCAAUUACUAUCCUUAGUUAUUGUCAGUUUAUAGGUGAUUUGUAGUAAUUUAGCUUGAUAGCAGUGAGAAUUGUAUAGCAUGAUUAAAGGAUUAGGAUGUGAUAGUUAGUCUAUACUAUCACAAAAGAACACUCUGUUGUAUAAUUGUUGAUAUUAAUAGAAGCAAUCGUUCAA
rnacentral:lncRNA from 1 species